GCUCUUCCAGGAAUACCAAACAGACAAGAUGUAACUGGAUCGGCUUCUGUGUACAGACUGCAGGCCAAAGUCUUCGAGGAAGCGGGGGAAAUCCUGAGAAGUCACAUUGUCCAAUAGAAAAGAGCUCUCCAUGUUACUAAGAGCAUGUGGAAAUCUCUAGGUAGUGAAUUUUUCAACCCAUCGCACUGCUGAUGGAACAUGCAUGUGCUUUGUCAACCACUGGGACCUCCAUUUGGAUGACUGGAAAGGUGCACUUGGUGUGUCCAGCUGCAAACACGCCAGCGCCUUUCGCCGAGACACAACACCCCAUAUCUGCCCUGUGCCAGGAUCAAGCCCUCUGUCACUAGCAAGACUUCGCUGAAUGUUACCCGCACUCGGAUUUAGCAUCUGACACAAUGUUGUAAGCUCUUCGGGGGCAGGGCUGUGUUUGUGCAGCACCUAGCACUAUGGGGCUGGGUCUAUGAUUGGGCUCCCUAGACGUGGCUGCAAUACAAAUAAUAAUGGAAUGAUCACAGCCCUAUGAUUAAACUGAUCUCAAUUGCAAGCAGCAGGACGUAUCUCCAACGGGUAAUAGCAGUGAAUUCACCCCUCUUUUGCUUCUCAGUUUACAGUGCAUAGAUCUUGUAUUUUACCUUUCGGUGCCAGGUGCCUGCCAGAGAUCCUCAUUAUUACA